rnacentral:rRNA from 1 species
AUUGAACGCUGGCGGCAGGCCUAACACAUGCAAGUCGAACGAGUGGCGGACGGGUGAGUAAUGUCUGGGAAACUGCCUGAUGGAGGGGUAUAACCACUGGAAACCGUGGCUAAUACCGCAUACCGUCGGUUGUGCCCUGAUUGGAUUAGCUAGUCGGUGGGGUAAAGGCUCACAUAGGCGACGAUGCCUAGCGGGCCUGAGAGGAUGAGCAGCCACACUGGAACUGAGACACGGCCCAGACUCCUACGGGAGGCAGCAGUGGGGAAUAUUGGGCAAUGGACGCAAGUCUGAUCCAGCAAUGCCGCGUGUGUGAAGAAGGCCUUCGGGUUGUAAAACACUUUCAGCGGGGAAGCGUUACCCAACGAAGAAGCACCGGCUAACUACGUGCCAGCAGCCGCGGUAAUAC